CAAAAGCUUCCCAUUUCCAUGGUCACAACUUAGGACCCCUAUGCCACCCACAAGCCUGCAGAUUCCAAGAUGACCUGGAAGGGACAGAACAGGAAGUCUUGAGCUUUGGCACAAGUUCAGGGGCCUAUUUGGGGAUGUGGACCCUCGCCACUUCAGAAGCGCAAGAAACAAGAGGAGGGAAAAGUAGAAGAGCCUGAGCCUUAAACAACAAAUAUUUCAAAACGAGCACAUUCUCCACAGCUACCAAGUCCAAAGCUACUUUAUAUGUUUCUGAGUUGCCAGAAUGUCUUGUUU
rnacentral:lncRNA from 1 species